GGAAGAACAGAACAAAGAAAGGUAGAACAAUGUAAUCUUCAUAAGCAGGGUAAGACUCAUGCUCCCACCCAAUUAAUUUCACGUAAUCCAUGAAACCCAUCAGGGAUCUUUUGCUUUAGAUAGAUUGAAGAAUUUCUCGAGAAACAAACAAGAAGUAGAGCUUCUUGUAAAUCUCAUACACGAGCAGAAAGAAAUUUUGGC
rnacentral:misc_RNA from 1 species